rnacentral:rRNA from 1 species
GAUGAACGCUGGCGGCGUGCCUAAUACAUGCAAGUCGAGCGAAGCGGGGAAGGGUGAGGAACACGUGGAUAACCUCCUAUAAGACUGGGCUAACUUCGGGAAACCGGAGCUUAACCCGAAACUUAUAGAUGGAUCGGCGAUGCAUUAGCUAGUUGGUAAGUUAACGGCUUACCAAGGCAACGAUGCAUAGCCGACCUGAGAGGGUGAUCGGCCACAUUGGAACUGAGACACGGUCCAGACUCCUACGGGAGGCAGCAGUAGGGAAUCUUCCGCAAUGGGCGAAAGCCUGACGGAGCAACGCCGCGUGAGUGAUGAAGGUCUUCGGAUCGUAAAACUCUGUUAUUAGGGAAGCGGUACCUAAUCAGAAAGCCACGGCUAACUACGUGCCAGCAGCCGCGGUAAUUC